CCAAUAGCGUAUAUUAAAGUUGUUGCAGUUAAAAAGCUCGUAGUUGAAUUUCGGGAUUGACACAUCGGUCGUGCCCUAAGGGGUAUGAACUGGUGUAGUCAGUUUCUCACCUUCUGGAGAACCGCGAUGUCCUUAAUUGGGUGCCGCGAGGAACCAGGACCUUUACUUUGAAAAAAUUAGAGUGUUUAAAGCAGGCAUUUUGCUUGAAUACAUUAGCAUG
rnacentral:rRNA from 1 species